GCUGGUAUAGCUCAGUUGGUAGAGCAUGAGACUCUUAAUCUCAGUGCCAUGAGUUCAAGCUCCACAAUGGGCA